UACGUAGGGUGCAAGCGUUAAUCGGAAUUACUGGGCGUAAAGCGUGCGCAGGCGGUGAUGUAAGACAGUUGUGAAAUCCCCGGGCUCAACCUGGGAACUGCAUCUGUGACUGCAUCGCUGGAGUGCGGCAGAGGGGGAUGGAAUUCCGCGUGUAGCAGGUGAAAUGCGUAGAUAUGCGGAGGAACACCGAUGGCGAAGGCAAUCCCCGUGGGCCUGCACUGACGCUCAUGCACGAAAGCGUGGGGAGCAAACAGG
rnacentral:rRNA from 1 species